UUGAAGGAGAAUUUCAGUACUUUAUUCCAUAGGUAUGAAGACUUAAUGCAUACUUUUAUUUCAUCAGAUCUUGUUCGUCUGGGAAUGACUGGUAAUGUCUGUCUGAAGUCUCCAGAUAAAACUAAUAUAAAUAUUUCCAUAG